rnacentral:rRNA from 1 species
UACGGAGGGUGCAAGCGUUAUCCGGAUUCACUGGGUUUAAAGGGCGCGUAGGCGGCCUUCUAAGUCGAACGUGAAAUCCCUGGGCUCAACCCAGGAACUGCGUCCGAUACUGGAAGGCUUGAAUCCGGGAGAGGGAUGCGGAAUUCCAGGUGUAGCGGUGAAAUGCGUAGAUAUCUGGAGGAACACCGGUGGCGAAGGCGCUCAUCUGGCCCAAUACUGACGCUGAGGCGCGAAAGCUAGGGGAGCAAACGGG